rnacentral:rRNA from 1 species
GUAGGAUAGAAAUAAAUUAUUUUAGUUAAAACUUAAGGGAGRAAGUUAGGAGAUUGGUUAAUUUUAUAGGUAAAAUUUGUURAAUUAGUUAUUUYCUAAGAUGGAGAGUUGAAGCUUUGAAAGUUAAAAUUGAAACUAGGAUUAGAUACCCUAUUAUUUUAAUUGUAAAGAGGAGAAGCUGGAGUAGUAGUAGUUAAGUACUUGAAACUCAAAGAAUUUGGCGGUGUCUUAGUCUUUUCAGAGGAAUCUGUCCUAUAAUCGAUAUUACACGUUAAAUGUUGCUUAAUUUGGUAUAACCAAUUUGUAUACCGCCGUCAUAAGAUCAUCUUUUUAGAGGAAGAAUUUUCUUGAUAUUAUAAGAUAAUAUGUCAGGUCAAGGUGCAGUUUAUAGUUAAGAGGGAGAUGGAUUACAAUAGAUUUAUUUAAAUGGAUUCCUUGCUGAAAGGUAAGGAUGAAGGUGGAUUUGAAGGUAAUUUUAYUAAAUUAUGGUAAAAUGAUUGAAGCUCUAGGACAUGUACACAUCGCCCGUCGCUCUCGUUAUUAAGAUGAGAUAAGUCGUAACAUAGUAGUCGUACUGGAAAGUGUGGCUAGAAAAUCAA